CUUUCUGCCGCCGGCGACCGGCGCACGGGUGAGUAACACGUAUGCAACCUGCCCCUGUCAGGGGGACAACCCGCCGAAAGGCGGGCUAAACCCGCGUACAUGCCACCGGGGCAUCCCGGAGGCAGGAAAGGCUUCGGCCGGACAGGGAUGGGCAUGCGGCGCAUUAGGCAGUAGGCGGGGUAACGGCCCACCUAACCGACGAUGCGUAGGGGUUCUGAGAGGAAGGUCCCCCACACUGGUACUGAGACACGGACCAGACUCCUACGGGAGGCAGCAG
rnacentral:rRNA from 1 species